GACGUAGGAUGCAAGCGUUGUCCGGAUUUAUUGGGCGUAAAGAGUUCGUAGGUGGUUUGUUAAGUCUGAUGUUAAAGACUGGGGCUCAACCUCGGAAAUGCAUUGGAUACUGGCAGACUUGAGUGUGGUAGAGGCAAUCGGAAUUCCAGGUGUAGCGGUGAAAUGCGUAGAUAUCUGGAAGAACACCGGUGGCGCAAGCGGAUUGCUGGGCCAAGACUGACGCUGAGGAGCGAAAGCGUGGGUAGCGAACAGG
rnacentral:rRNA from 1 species